rnacentral:rRNA from 1 species
AACGAACGCUGGCGGCGUGGAUUAGGCAUGCAAGUCGAACGCGAAAGAGGGAGCAAUCCCUCAAGUAGAGUGGCGAACGGGUGAGUAACGCGUGAAGAACCUGCCUUCAACAGGGGGAUAACACUCCCAACGGGGUGCUAAUACCGCAUGAGACCACGGGUCCGCAUGGACCUGAGGUCAAAGGUGGCCUCUGCUUGCAAGCUACCGGUUGAAGAUGGCUUCGCGUCCCAUAGCUAGUUGGCGGUGUAAAAGACCACCAAGGCGACGAUGGGUAGCUGGUCUGAGAGGAUGGUCAGCCACACUGGGACUGAGAUACGGCCCAGACUCCUACGGGAGGCAGCAGUCGAGAGGCUUUGGCAAUGGGGAAACCCUGACCAAGCGACGCCGCGUGGAGGAUGAAGGCCCUUGGGUUGUAAACUCC